CCAAAAGCAAGAAACAAAAUAUUAAAAAAAAAAAUAUCACAAAACACACCUCUAUGAUUCUGUCAUGUGUUCUUCCCACAUGGACUUGUUUACUUCAUCAAUUAAAUUAAACGGUCCAUUUCCAGAUCUUAAACCUAACAUCAACAUCACACUUAACGUUCGAAGUUGACGCCGUUACUGGUUUCUUACUACCGACGACAGGAACAUGAACUCUAACACCGUCACAUGUAACUCUUAUUCCAACGUUAGGUGUUUUCAUUUUUCCCAUUUUAGCCUUCACUUUUGUAUCCAACUUCACUUUCAACGCUAAACCGUUUUUGCUCUUCAUGUUCUUCUUCAGCUCCGUGGAAGCUUCUGAUUCUAAUGCUAGACCAGUACUCGAAAUGGAAGAUUUUAGAAGAGUAGUGUUCUUCUUGCCAUGUUUGAAAGAUGGUAUGGUUCCUUCACCGAUGUUGAUGUUGUUAGAGAGAAUUGUGAUGGUGGUUGGUUGGUAAACGAAGGUGAUAUGUUUGUUAGGGUUUUUUGCAGUGAUGUUGACGUUGAACUUUGAGUUGAGGGUGGAGGAGGAGGUGAGGUUGAGGUAGGAAAGUUUGAGAGAUGUGACGGUGAAGGAAGGACGGUGGGGACGGUAGAUGAGGUAGAAAGCGGUGCCGGUUACGCCGAGGAGGAGGAGGAGGAUGAGAAGUAUGAGGAAAAACCAGAAGAAGAAGGUGCAGCAGCAACGGCGGCGGGUACGGCGGUGGUGAGGUUGAGGACGGUAGGUAGGGCGGGUGGCACCGUAGAGUUGAGCUUUUGUGGCUGGAAAUGAUGGGUUUGCGGCGGAGACACCGUUACCGUUUCCGUUGCCGUUGGUUAUGGGUUUGGCGGCGGGAUAUACACGAUCUGCCAUGAUGUUUUUUUUGUUUCGGGGGAAAUAAUGUUGUCGGUGAAUGAAAUAGAGGGAGUGUGUUUUUGGUUUUGAGGUUAACUAAAAGGUGGAUUAAGAAGAAAGUACUAGUGGUAGUAGAAUAUAGGAAAGGAAUUAAUCACCAAAAGGAAAAAAAAGAAUGGGAAAAGGAAUUAAGUUUGAAGUCAAAAAAAGAAAGGGAAGGAAUUAAAAAAGGAAAAUGGGGUAGGAAAUUGGAGAGAGAAAGAUUGCAACAUUCUAACUACUAGUUUUUAGCUGUAUCCAGCACUUUACUCUCAUGUUAAGCGCGUACAUAAUGCUCCUCACACUUAAUUUCUCAAUCUCAUUAUUCACAGAUUAAUUAAAG
rnacentral:lncRNA from 1 species